AGCCAUUUUUUUUUUUUUUUGACUUUACCUAGCACGCCAAGUUUCAAUAGUCCAAGGUGGGUCUGGACAAUAAUGACAGGCGGUCAUUUUCACUUCUGCAUGCCAGCUUGGGGGGCUUUACAGGAGAGCAGCAAAAGUCCAUGAAAAUGAGAUACUGAUGCACGGAAACGUCUAGUGAGCUUCCAUGUUUUGUCGGCCAAGCUGGACCCCACUGCCAUCUCCUCGUGGAGCUCAACCAUGUUCGGGUGCUUCACCAUUUUAGACUUAUUUCCAUAUUUUCUCCGUAAUAGAUUGAAAUUCCCUGCCGGCAGCGCCCAAGUGAUGUUUUCCAGAAUUUUUAUUUUUUAUUUUCUUAUCUUCUCUUCAACAUCUACAACUUGGCGACGACCCUUGCUGUACCGUUGCAAAUGCCUUCCGGUGCGAGAAACCAAAGCAACCAUGUUUUCUUGAGACAUCAAGGUCUGGGUUUCAGCCUCAAAGUCACGUAACUUUCUGAUGGAGUCAAGCUUGUUGAGAAUACCACCACAAAUGGAGGAGAGCUCAGAAAGUUUGGCUUUGAGAACAACCAUGUACCGGAAUUGGAGCAGGGAUUCGAGCGGCACCACGACAAGGGAUCUGGAACCAGGCGCUAGAGCUGAUCUGCAGAACGUAGCCAUUUUGAAAGAAUUCGGCGAGGAAGCUCCCUAUCUUGGUCAUGAACUGGCCGGCCGAACGGAGUAGUUUCAGGCCGUGGUCUCAUUAACAAAGCCAGGAGCUUCCAGAUCUCGCCGGCGGCACCGAGGACGGAGACCUUGCGCUCGGGAUGCGAGCAGCGGAGCUUGCUCUGCUUCUAGCUAUGGCAGAUUGUUCGGAUCUGAACAUCGUCGGCCUCAUUUUUCAGGAAGAAGAGAGACUUGGUGCGGCGGUGCUUCACGGUGCCGUUUUUCUUUCUUAAAGUGGACGAAGCUGGUUUUGAUCCUCUCGGCUGGAUCAAACUUGCAGAUCGCAUGUUUGCUCCCACCAAGAUAUGGUGACGGCGGUAUCGGAAGGUCAACGUUAACCUCAAAUGUUACGGGAUUGUUUCGGCCAUUGCCGCCUCCGCUAUACCCAUCUUUCUCUCUCCAACCCAUUGAGCACGAAGCACACCAACUCUUUCGAAUCGGAGGUUGCGUGAGAACCACGAUGAGGAGUUGGAUUCUGAUGGUUCGUUUGAGAAUCGUGCUGAUAACGUGUUAUGAACUCAAUGAAAAAGAGAGAAUGAGAGGAGAUUCUCUUAUUGAUCUGUAUAUCAAACUUAUAUAUUUCUUAAAGAAUUCAACGAUAUA